UACAGAGGGUGCGAGCGUUGUUCGGAAUUACUGGGCGUAAAGCGCGCGCAGGCGGCCCUUUAAGUCCGUCGGUCAAAUGCCGGGGCUCAACCCCGAGCGUGCCGAGGAUACUGGAGGGCUGGAGACACGUAGAGGCAAGCGGAAUUCCGGGUGUAGAGGUGAAAUUCGUAGAUAUCGGGAGGAACACCGGUGGCGAAGGCGGCGACCUGGGUCGAGACUGACGCUGAGGCGCGAAAGCGUGGGGAGCAAACAGG
rnacentral:rRNA from 1 species